AAUCUGGAUUCGUAGAAUUUCUGUAAUCACAGAUUUUUUUUGUCCAAAACACACACAACUUUCAAUAAAAAACAAUCAUAAUCUUCCAUCCAUAAUCAAUCUUCCAAUAAAUUCUCAUAUAAUUCAAUCACAUAAUAUUCCAAUUACAUAAUCAAUAACUCAUAAAUCAAUCUCUAAUUUAUUCCACAAACUCACUUUUCAGCAUUCAAAAACUAUCUAUUACUCUUCAACAACAAAGAAAACAAAGAAAACAAAGAGGUAGUACCAAGCUUAACCCCAGCUCAUGACUAUCACAGUCUGGCACCCCA
rnacentral:lncRNA from 1 species